rnacentral:rRNA from 1 species
AGCGGCGGACGGGUGAGUAAAACAUGGAGAUCUACCUAGUAGUGGGGGAUAACGUAUGGAAAUGUACGCUAAUACCGCAUAAGUCUUACGAGACAAAGCAGGGGAUUGAUAAUCAACCUUGCGCUAAUAGAUGAAUCUAUGUCGGAUUAGCUAGUUGGUAGAGUAAAAGCCUACCAAGGUGACGAUCCGUAGCUGGUCUGAGAGGAUGACCAGCCACACUGGGAUUGAGAUACGGCCCAGACUUCUACGGGAGGCAGCAGUGGGGAAUCUUGGACAAUGGGGGAAACCCUGAUCCAGUCAUGCCGCGUGUGUGAAGAAGGCCUUAGGGUUGUAAAGCACUUUCAGCGAGGAAGAAAUAUUAUAAACUAAGAAUUUAUAAAAAUGACGGUACUCGCAGAAGAAGCACCGGCUAACUACGUGCCAGCAGCCGCGGUAAAACGUAGGGUGCAAGCGUUAAUCGGAAUUACUGGGCGUAAAGGGCAUGUAGGCGGUCUUUUAAGCAUUGUGUGAAAUGCCUAGGCUUAACCUAGGAACGGCAUAAUGAACUGAAGAACUAGAGUGCAGUAGAGGAAGGUAGAAUUCCAGGUGUAGCGGUGAAAUGCGUAGAUAUCUGGAGGAAUACCAGUGGCGAAGGCGACCUUCUGGACUGACACUGACGCUGAGGUGCGAAAGCGUGGGUAGCAAACAGGAUUAGAUACCCUGGUAGUCCACGCCGUAAACGAUAUCAACUAGCCGUUGGAUUAUUAAAUAAUUUAGUGGCGUAGCUAACGCGAUAAGUUGAUCGCCUGGGGAAGUACGGCCGCAAGGCUAAAACUCAAAUGAAUUGACGGGGGCCCGCACAAGCGGUGGAGCAUGUGGUUUAAUUCGAUGCAACGCGAAGAACCUUACCUACUCUUGACAUCCAAAGUAAUUUUCAGAGAUGAAAAUGUGCCUUAGGGAACUUUGAGACAGGUGCUGCAUGGCUGUCGUCAGCUCGUGUUGUGAAAUGUUGGGUUAAGUCCCGUAACGAGCGUAACCCUUGUCCUUAUUUGCCAGUGCGUAAUGGCGGGAACUUUAAGGAGACUGCUGGUGAUAAACCGGAGGAAGGUGGGGACGACGUCAAGUCAUCAUGGCCCUUACGAGUAGGGCUACACACGUGCUACAAUGGCGAAGACAAAGGGUCGCAAAACGGUAACGUGAAGCUAAUCCCAGAAAGAUUGUCUCAGUUCGGAUUGGAGUCUGCAACUCGACUCCAUAAAGUAGGAAUCGCUAGUAAUCGUGAAUCAGAAUGUCGCGGUGAAUACGUUCUCGGGCCUUGUACACACCGCCCGUCACACCAUGGGAGUGAAUGGCACCAGAAGUGGCUAGUUUAACCUAAUGGAGAACAGUUACUACGGUGUGUUUCAUGA